AAACACUGCUACUCUCUCUCUCUUCAAGACUCUCUCUCUUCAACACGCUGGCUAUUGACUCUCUCUUCAAGGCACCUGCUAUUCACUCUCUCUCUUCAACACGCCUGCUAUUCACUCUCUCUCUCUCUUCAAUACACCUGCUAUUCACUUUCACUCUCUGUUCUACUUCUUAUUGUUGGCAUGUUUCUUCUCUCUAUCUCGUGCUCCUUGUGCUCUAAAAAGUAAAACCCUUACUGAGAAUCACAUAUCUUCAUUAUGAGUGGGAGAGCGAGAAGGGACCAGAAAAACGAGCAGAUCGCUCGAGCUCUCUCUAAGCUCCCCCAUAACAAGAAAUGCAUCAACUGCAACUCCCCUGUCCCCCAAUAUGUAUGUUGCGAUUUCAGUACAUUUGUGUGCAUGACUUGCAGUGGCAUUCACCGAGAGUUUACACACAGGGUGAAGUCCAUCUCCAUGUCCAAGUUCAGCCCUGCUGAGGUAGCUGCUCUUCAUUCAGGUGGAAACCAGGUUGCGCGCGAAAUUUACAUUAAAAAAUGGGAUUUCCAGAAAAAUAAACUCCCCGAAAACAGUGAUUUGGAGAAUUUGCGUAAGUUCAUCAAACAAGUUUAUGUAGAGAAGGCUUAUGCGGCGGAGGAAGCUUUUGCGAGGGGAAGGACAGACGAAUGUGGUCGUUUUUCAGUUGAUCGAAUAUAUGUGGAUUAUAAUUUUGAUGCAAGCCGUCGAUCCUUCUCAUCCUACAGAGACAGUUCUUUGAAUCUCAACAAAUUCAAGAGAUUUCCAAGCUAUGUUAGCAAUAAAAUUGAUGGAACAAGUACCCAUGGCUGGUAUGACAUGGAUAGAGAUGGGCCAAGGCGGUUUUCAAAUUAUUCAGAAGAUGACUGCUUUGAAAGGAUUAAGAGUUUAUCUUCCUAUGCCGAGAAAACACGCAUGGAUCCAGCAGGUGAAAAUCCUACUGGCUUUCUAAAUUGGGAUGGGAGGGAUGAUAUGGGGAAGCCAUCCAAUAAUUCUUGUGGCUCUAUAGGAGAAAUUCCCCAUGUCCAAAACUUCCAGGGGAAUGAAUAUGGUAAUGGAUUAAGUCAAGGCAUAAAUUAUAUUGGGUUUGGAGAAGCUGGCUUGUUCAAUAGCUAUUGUAAUUUGAACAGCCAAAAUGGAGCUUCAGUUGGUGGUUUUACUUUGCAUGGACAACAUGGAGAAAAGCAAUCCCUUUCGGAUGGAAAGGGUGACAAAUUACACAUAUCGAAGUCUGCGUCCUUUGCCUAUUCAGAAAGCCUCACAGGAUUUCCUUCUCACCAAUGUGUUUCAGUCAGCGAAACAAGACACUAUGUGCAAGGAAUUGGUGUUGAAAGCGCUCUUAAUAAUGGAUGGGCAACAUUUGAUCUUCCUCCUUCAUCUAGGAAUAACAGCUCCCUUAGCAAUGGUCCUGCCCAUAUAUAUGGAACUAAGGAGCCCAUCGAUGGCAAAACUGAAAGUAUCUCAAAACCCACAUUUUGUGCAAGGGAAGGUUCUGUGAACGUUGAAAGUGAUAAUCAGUGUUCAAAUUCAUCUUUCUCUCAGACCCCAGUGCAGCAGUGUUGGAAUGCAUUCGCUUCAUGCUCUUCUUAUGGAGGGCAAGAAAUUCAAUCAGAAACUUCAAACAGUAUCCUUUAUUCCGAUGAUAGUCCUAGUAUUGUCAGCACAUCAGUCCCUCAGCCCUUUCAACAGCAGCUAUGGAACCCAUUUCCUGCUACUGCUUUUGGAGAAUUAGAAGCUCAUAUGUAUACUUCUGAGUGGGAAGCUGAUUUUUCAUCUAUGCCAGAAUACAGAAACCAAGAUGAGGUGUCAGUUUCCUCUAUUGAUCCACCACAUAAGUCAAGGAAUCCAUUUGAUUCUCCUGAAGACUACGUUCCAGUACCCAUCGACUUCCCCAUUGCCAGAUUCUACCAUGAUGGUCCCAUCCAAUUAUUUUGGGGUGUCAAGGAGCUGCUUUUGCCAUAUGCCUCGAGCCAAGGAAACCAGAACAAAGCCGUAGAAACUAUGGGCCCCUUGGCCCCGCCUCUUGAUGGCCUAGCUAGUCUAUCAUUGAGUUCAAGCUCACAAACUAAAGUUCCAAUUAGCGAAGAGUUGAAAAGUCGCAACCCUUUUGACUGAUCUGCAUGCUAAGGAGUUCUGACAUAACUUUGAUAGAGAGGGGAUCAAGGUAGUGCGAUGCCUAAAGUUUAGAAGGGGUCUCACUGACUCAGAGUUGUUGGAGUUUGCAAGUAUGAUGGAUGGUAUAUUCCUCUUAGAGGAGGUUAGAUCUUUGGAGAGAUGGGGAUAGCUCUUUGCAAGAUCCUUCUAUCAUGCAUUGGUAGCUGAACGGUGGAUUGCCCCCUUGCGAACUAGUUUGGCAUAUUCAAUAUGGAUCUAUUUAUGUGUAGGGAGGGGUACCAAUUGUUGGAUCAUCGAUUUCUCCAUCAUAACUAUGCUAGGGCAGUAUGUUACUUCGUGCUAGAUCUCUUUGGGAUGGUUGGACUACACCGCCUUCAAUGUCAUGCUUGAUCUGUUUCUCAACCGGGUUCUCAGAUAGAACUUGGAUAUUGAGGCAGUUAACGUUUUAAUCCUAUUGUCAGCAUAUGGGAGAUUUGUAAGGAAUGCAGCAGUGGGACAUUCAAAGGUCAGAGCAUUUGCAAGGUUGUUCUGCAAGCACAAAUACGAAACCAUGACGAUUACUAUGAGGUAGUGCAUACUGCUGAUAGGAUCAUUGAAGCUGAAAUUUGAUGGGUGCCUAAGGGUAAUCCAAGGCAGGGGGCCUGGAAAGGAUGCCAAUAGGACCGUUACGCCAUUAAGCGCUUUGCAUGAGGAAUUGAAUUGCUACUCCCAUCAUGAUGAGACGAUCAUCAUUGAAGGCAAUGGCCCCUAAGUGUUGUUGAACGAGCAAGUAGAUUAGUCUCUCACCCCUGGGUUCAUGGCUGUAUCUUUGAUGAGAUUGCAUAUGCAUGUUCAUGAUGUUAUGGGGGAAGCUAAUCUUGAGUCCAACGUACUUGCUAAUGGUGGUGGUGUCUCGUGAUAGUUUAUGGGUAGUGGCAGGUACUAGUUCUAAUGCUCCAACGCAGAUGGUGAAAGUGAAUAUUAACUUGCCUACAUGGAUCGAAGAGCAGUUCGUCAGUAAUGUGUAAAAUGGCAGGUAAGGCGUUGACUGUAUGUUUAAAGGGAAUUUGUAUAAUAAUCUGGAUGUUGGAUACCUGGGAUGGAUAUAUACCUUGUAAGAGUACUUUGUUCACUGUCUUUUUUUUUUCUUUUUCUCUUUCUUUUUCUUUUUCCUUUUUUUUUUUUUGCCUUUUCUGUGUGCAUGUAUAUGGCCUUUUAAGACCCUUGGAAGGGCAAUGAGGUAGACCCCUUGGCGCGAGAUUCCCCCCUCCUCUCUCUCAAAUUAGACUCUCAUAUCCGGAAAAAAACUCAAGGGAAAGUCCUACAUGCGGUUCUACCUAGAUCUAAAAUGUAUGUAACUGCUAUUAUUCUCAGUUAUCCGAUGUGAUGAUAGCUUUUGUCACAUUGUUAUAUUUA